rnacentral:rRNA from 1 species
AGUGAACGCUGGCGGUAGGCCUAACACAUGCAAGUCGAACGGCAGCACAGUAAGAGCUUGCUCUUACGGGUGGCGAGUGGCGGACGGGUGAGGAAUACAUCGGAAUCUACUUUUUCGUGGGGGAUAACUAAGGGAAACUUACGCGAAUACCGCAUACGACCUACGGGUGAAAGCAGGGGAUCUUCGGAACUCGCGCGAAUGAAUGAGCCGAUGUCGGAUUAGGUAGUAGGCGGGGUAAAGGCCCACCAAGGCGCCGAUCCGUAGCUGGACUGAGAGGAUGAAAAGGCACACUGGCAAAAGGACAGGAUAAAGACCCCUACGGCAAGCAGCAGCGAGGAAUAUUGGAGAAGGGGCGAAAGACUAUGACAGGCAACCCGCGUAGGAGAAGGAGGCCUUCGGGUUGUCAAGCCCUUUUGUUGGGAAAGAAAAGCAGCAGGUUAGUACACGGCUGGUCUGACGGUACCCAGAGAAUGAGGCACAGCUAACUACGUG